rnacentral:rRNA from 1 species
UACAGGGGGUGCAAGCGUUGUCCGGAAUGAUUGGGCGUAAAGCAUCUGUAGGUGGUUUCUAAAGUCAACUGUUAAAUCCCAGAGCUCAACUUUGGACAAGCAGUUGAGUACUUAGAGACUUGAGUAUGGUAGGGGUAGAGGGAAUUCCUAGUGGAGCGGUGAAAUGCACAGAGAUUAGGAAGAACACCAGUGGCGAAAGCGCUCUACUGGGCCAUGACUGACACUGAGAGAUGAAAGUUAGGGGAGCGAAAAGG